UACGAAGGGGGCUAGCGUUGUUCGGAAUCACUGGGCGUAAAGCGCACGUAGGCGGAUUGUUAAGUCGGGAGUGAAAUCCUGAGGCUCAACCUCAGAACUGCCUUCGAUACUGCCAAUCUCGAGUCCGGAAGAGGUUGGUGGAACAGCUAGUGUAGAGGUGAAAUUCGUAGAUAUUAGCUAGAACACCAGUGGCGAAGGCGGCCAACUGGUCCGGUACUGACGCUGAGGUGCGAAAGCGUGGGGAGCAAACAGG
rnacentral:rRNA from 1 species